UGGAUCGGAAAAUUCUAGGUAUUUUAGGGUGGAUUAAGCCAAAUUAGCACCAUCUGAAUCUAGGAUGAUAGUAAAUUAGAUGACACAGCAGGAAGUACACUUAAGAUUGGAAUCCCAUAUUUCCCUCCUACCUCUACCUCCAUUCUCCCUCACCCAAGAGUGAACUUGUGUAAUUAGUAUAGAGAUGAUAAGGCUAUCAAAGUAUCAAUGUGUGAUCAUGGUGUUGCCAA
rnacentral:misc_RNA from 1 species